CGCCGAGCGCGCUGGUCGCACCGCUCCGGGGCUCUAGCGCUCAGUCGUGACUUGGCUGUCGUCGCGUGCGCGUCGGCGCGCGGUUGUUCCUGCCAGUGUUUGUGUUUGCUGUUCUACAGCCUGUGCAGGAUACAAGUACGUGGCAACAGAAUUUGACAAGAAACUUGAAGAACUAUCAGAAAAAGAGACUGGUCUGAGUGAUGUUGAAAUUACUAUCCUCCUCCGUGUUUUAACAAGAGCCACACUUUCUAUAAAGCGUUUCCAGAAACUUCUGCAUUGUGUUGUGCCAGAGACAAUUGUGCAGAAAGAACACAUACAAACUGUUGUCAUCUAGAUGCUUGUGAGACACGUAUAUGAACCACCUGAAAAGAGUAUUGCUGUCCUCCAGUGGCUCAUUGCUUUGCUGGAGAAUGAGGUCGCAGACAGACAAGCGAUUGACAGCUUUUAUCAUCAAAUUUAUUUUCUAUUAUUUGUUGAAAGUCUGGCACCGUGGGCUUCUAAAAUUGUAUAUACGUUGACUACACCAGAUGACGUUUCAAGAGCGAGGGUUGUAACAUUAUUUAGAUGCAUCCUCAAACAGACAGGAGCACCUCACAUUGAAGCAAUACUGGGCUUAUUUAAGUCUCUCUGUCCAGAACUUGUCCCAGAAGAUAUUUCAACUGUAAAUACACAUACAGCCUUUGGAAGAAUACCUGCUACGCUGUCAGAGGCUGUAAAUAAGAGCAGGUGUUGCAGAUCCAAGGCAAGAAGUUAAUCAUCAAACAGAUGCGGAACAUGUCACACUGUGCUCCUGCAUGAUCUGCUACUGCCAAUUUGCCCAUCUUGCCAAGGUGACAGUUGCUCAGGUGUUUGUGCUGUACUGGAUUUUCCUUAAAGAGGAUGGAAAGAUGUAGAACAAGAGCCACUUACAACUUGCUUUUAGCCACAAUUACCUUCAGUGAUUUCCUUUUAAAGGCAGUAGUUAUUGUUUUAAAUUAUAAAGUAAUGCACUAAUUAAGUUUUUUUUUGUGUGCAGUAUAAACUCGUUUCACGGCUUUUUUCUCAUUUGUAAGUACCUUGGGAGUUUACAUAGAUACUGAAUGUGAUGUCUGAGGGUGAGAUGUUAUGCCUGUCUUUCCCUGUAGACAUUGGUUUAUGUUCUCAGUGCAAUAAGAAAACCAGGAAAUAAGAAUUAUGAUGAUUUAGGUGAUGUUGUUAUGGGACAGUAUCUUUUUACAGAUACUGUGCCUCAUCCAUCAUUCAUAAAUUCACACACAUGCAACAUACCAUUUACUGCAUUUGUUUACAUUAAAUAAUAACAUAGAAUAAAGGUAUUGUGAUAGUAU